AGCGAACGCUGGCGGCAGGCCUAACACAUGCAAGUCGAACGAACUCUUCGGAGUUAGUGGCGGACGGGUGAGUAACACGUGGGAACGUGCCUUUAGGUUCGGAAUAACUCAGGGAAACUUGUGCUAAUACCGAAUGUGCCCUUCGGGGGAAAGAUUUAUCGCCUUUAGAGCGGCCCGCGUCUGAUUAGCUAGUUGGUGAGGUAAAGGCUCACCAAGGCGACGAUCAGUAGCUGGUCUGAGAGGAUGAUCAGCCACAUUGGGACUGAGACACGGCCCAAACUCCUACGGGAGGCAGCAGUGGGGAAUCUUGCGCAAUGGGCGAAAGCCUGACGCAGCCAUGCCGCGUGAAUGAUGAAGGUCUUAGGAUUGUAAAAUUCUUUCACCGGGGACGAGAAUGACGGUACCCGGAGAAGAAGCCCCGGCUAACUUCGUG
rnacentral:rRNA from 1 species